ACAACAGAUUUGAUAGCCGGGGAAGAAGCUGAAAUAUGCAGGCGGCAAGCGAACAGAUGGAAAGUGAUAUGGGUGAGGCGGAUCCAGCAUUUAAAAAGGCACGUGAGGAGUAUAGCGAGAUCGGCUAUUCUCCCACCCUUACAAAGGAACAGUUGAAGAUGACCAUUUUGUUGAGGCGCGUGUCUGAGGGGAAAGAUGAGCCGGAAAUUGAAAAAACUCGGGACAUUAAACACCCACUUUCAAAAGAGGAAAUGAAUCGAAUUGCAGCUAGGAGAAAAUGCAACAGAGUAUCAGCGCAAAAAUCUCGUGAAAAGAAAAAACAGGAAACUCAGGAAAUAUUUCAAGUAGGUAUAAUUAUUCACUUAUUAAACAUACAAUUAUAUUGAAUAAUUUUCAAAGAAAUAUCACAAAACCAUUCAUGCUUGUACAAAUGUUACAAGAAAAAUGUAAUUUCGUUAUUUGUUUAUUUUGUUAUAAAUAAGAAGAAAUAUACAUGUAUAAUACAAAAAUAAAUUGUCAGAUGAGAAGUGUUACAUGUAAUCUUGUUAUAAAAUUCAUAAAAUAUUUUUGUUUGCGUUCAUACGGUAUUUUAACUACAAACAACACAUUUUUUUUUAAUAUUUUUUUUUUUCAAUUAAGUACUACAUGUAUUAUUAAUUAAAUGACGGUUGUAAUAUAAAUAUUGCUGAGUAAUGUAGCUAUACGUAUUAUAAUGUACAUGUAGUGUUUAUCACGUGAUCCAGUGAAAAGAGUUUCCGAAUAAUUCAUGUAAAAUUCAUCAUUAAUUUUAUUCUUGUAGACAGUGAAAGAACAUGAGCUGCGAAAGAAGGAUCUGGAGGCCAAGGUGUCUGAAAUGGAAUCAGAAAAAGCCAAAAUGCUGAAAAUCUUAAGUGAAUCUUUUUCACAACAGCAGCAGACAGUGAUAACACCGGUGGAUGUGAUGGGUCUCGUGAAUUUUAUCCUUCAAAAUGGCGCUGUUGAUGGCCAAAUUCAGAGUGACAUUUCCUCAACAAAUAUACAGAAUCAAACAGAACCACCUACGCCAAAUACUUUCAAUGUUGCAGGAAUGAACUGCACUCAGACUACCUCAGACUUUAACAUACAAACCGGUGAAAGCUUCAGAGGUCACCUCUCUCAUGAACUAUGUGACCUUGAAGGUCGAGGGUCAGCAGAUUUAUCUUGUUGUUCCGACUUCGAGAUGGCUCAGUGUUCCAACAAUUUUGUCUUCAAUCAUGAUUUUCUCGCCGACGAUUACUGACUUUUUCAUUUACACUAUACGAUGGAUUAUUUAAUCCAUUGCUCAUAUUAUUCACAGAGAAUUUUUUUUGUAUUGUAUUGAUUUGAUUAUUAAAAUGAAUGCCAAAAAU
rnacentral:misc_RNA from 1 species